rnacentral:rRNA from 1 species
UACGGAGGGUGCAAGCGUUAAUCGGAAUUACUGGGCGUAAAGCGCACGCAGGUGGCUGAGUCAGUCGAUUGUGAAAGCCCUGGGCUUAACCUGGGAAUUGCAGUCGAUACUACUCGGCUCGAGUAUGGGGAGAGGGCAGUGGAAUUCCCGGUGGUAGCGGUGAAAUGCGUAGAUAUCGGGAGGAACAUCAGUGGCGAAGGCGGCUGCCUGGCCCAAUACUGACACUCAGGUGCGACAGCGUGGGGAGCAAACAGGG